AUGGUACAGCAGCCAAUUAGCCAAAUAAUGAUAAAAAAUCAUAAUAACAUUUCUUAAAGGACCGUGGGAUAUUUACCUCUCACCCGUAUCAAUUAAAACAUGUGUUUUUCUCCCAUGAGACCAGCCCAUUAUCCUGAAGAUGCACCUUCAAGUUCCACCAAGUUUAUUACCUGUAGCAACGUACAUGCCCAACCCACCUCAGAUUUUUAGCAUUACCUGAAUACUUGAAUUUUAAAACUGUCUGGAAUCCAUUGACUUUCUGGAAUUCAAUUUAAAUAUUUAUGGACUUUUACAAAGGAAUUGACCAUUGUAGGACAAUUAAAUAUCCUAAUAAUAUGUUCAUAUACACCCUUGAGUAAAAAUAUAUUUUCUGUCACACCUGUAGUUCUGUCUUUGAGCUGUUCUAGUCUAAUGAUGUUCUGUAUUAUGUUUCAUGUUCUGUGUUCUGUGUUCUGUGUGGAACCCCAGGAAGAGUAGCUGCUGCUUUUGCAACAGCUAACCGGGAUCCAAAUAAAAUACCAAAAUACCUGGCGCUCGAAGGCGCCAGGCUCGACAGCAUUACAUACUUCUGCCUUCCCCCCUGUCACGCGCAUCAGCGAUUAUUGGACUCACCUGGACUCAAUCAUCUGUGUCAUUACCUCGCCUAUAUCUGUCUGUUUCCCAGGUCUGUUCCUCCUGCUUUAGGAGUAAUGUUUGUUUGUCUAUAUCUGUCUGUUCCCCAGGUCUGUUCCUCCUGCUUUAGGAGUAAUGUUUGUUUGUCUAUAUCUGUCUGUUCCCCAGGUCUGUUCCCCCUGCUUUAGGAGUAAUGUUUGUUUGUCUAUAUCUGUCUGUUCCCCAGGUCUGUUCCUCCUGCUUCAGGAUUAAUGUUUGUUUGUCUAUAUCUGUCUGUUCCCCAGGUCUGUUCCCCCUGCUUUAGGAGUAAUGUUUGUUUGUCUAUAUCUGUCUGUUCCCCAGGUCUGUUCCUCCUGCUUUAGGAGUAAUGUUUGUUUGUCUAUAUCUGUCUGUUCCCCAGGUCUGUUCCUCCUGCUUUAGGAGUAAUGUUUGUUUGUCUAUAUCUGUCUGUUCCCCAGGUCUGUUCCUCCUGCUUUAGGAGUAAUGUUUGUUUGUCUAUAUCUGUCUGUUCCCCAGGUCUGUUCCCCCUGCUUCAGGAUUAAUGCUUGUUUGUCUAUAUCUGUCUGUUCCCCAGGUCUGUUCCUCCUGCUUCAGGAUUAAUGUUUGUUUGUCUAUAUCUGUCUGUUCCCCAGGUCUGUUCCCCCUGCUUUAGGAGUAAUGUUUGUUUGUCUAUAUCUGUCUGUUCCCCAGGUCUGUUCCUCCUGCUUUAGGAGUAAUGUUUGUUUGUCUUUGCGUACCCAGUUCUGAAGCUGUCCUGUUUGAUGUCUGUUCUUUAUGUUCAACUCCCCGUACUUGCUUCUCGACUCCAACUUUCCAUUUUACAAACACAUUUGUGACAAGCGAGCACAUCCAUUUUCAAGCAUUCAUUGAAUGUUUUGGAAUGAGAUAUAGUUGGGCAUUUGUUUAACUUAUAUUAGAAGCCAGCUACUCAAUAAAUGUUAAUUAUUUUACUGCAUUAUGCAGCUGUUACAAUAAUCCAAAUUAUAUUUCUUAACUUUUAUCAUUUUUAAGAGCAAUUAAUUAGCUUUUAGAAGGAUUAUAAGUCACUACUUGUCUGUCACAUUAUAUUUUAUUAAUUCAUAUGGGUGAACAAUGGUGAACACCUGGCAUAUUCUAAAGUAGCCUAAGGCUAAAUAUUUAAUUAACAAAUGCCCCUCUUCAAUUUUCAUCAAAAAUAUUUGAACAUUUUAAAUUAUAGCAAAUAUGAUGUCCUCAAGCUUCCAAUAUGGAGUUGCACAUCAUCCUUCAGAUUAUCAUCCUCUUGGAUUACGGCCGAACUAUUCAACUGGUCUAAGACGUCAGUUUAACGUCUGGUUUUUGAUUUUUAUAUUUAAUUGAGUUAACUAACUAAUAACUAAUGUGAAUUCGACCUGAAAUCAACCAAAAAUGUGAUCCACGUCAAUUGAUCGAAAUUAAAAGUUAUUAUUAUGAAAUGUCAGUUUUCCAAAUUGAUUCAAUGUCAUCACAUUGCUUGUUGUUGUUGUUGUUGUUGAAAUAACGUUGAAACAACGUUGAAUAAACCAGUAUGUUCCCGGUUGGAUGCCUAUUUAAACUGUUAGUUUUUACUCUGUUUAUUUUGAACCUGACGGACAACUAGGAAAAGCUAAAAGCAGGUUUAUUCACCCAAUGGGGUCCAACUGCUGAACAGACAAAAGACAUGCUCCCACCAGCACCAGUAGUUAUAGUCUCCUCCUUCUCUCUAAACGUUAUACCUGUGUUGCUAGGCAGGAAGUUAAGUGAUGUGGGUAAUAUGUUCCUUCCCACUUCCUGUGACCUGACCUCAGCCCCCAUUUCAUCACUAAUCCACAGCUAUCUACCCUUAUCAGUGUGAUUGCCUUUUCCCUUACUUAGUAACUCCCCUGGCUUUUAUUGACCAUUGACCCCAGUAUAUAUAUUCCUCAUACAUGUAACCUGUAACUUCUAAUAUAGCAAGUAUUUCAAACUCAAACUAGAAACCAACAUAGCCUUCCCAAGAGGCUAAAAUAUAUUGAUUAGGUUGAACGAAAGUCACUAUAGUAAUUUAAAUGUAUUUUCUAUUUUUCUUUGCUCUCUGACAAUUUUCAAAAAAUGAAAUCCUUUAAACAUUUAAUUUAAUUGGUCUGGCAUAAGAUGUUCACCAUUGAAAGACUCCCGUGUGGGGCCUUGAAUGAGCAACAAUUUCUUAUAAUACAAUGGGACGGUACAGUGGUAUAGUAAUACAAUGGACAGAGCUACCGAUGUAGUCCUCCUGGAGAUGGACUUACAUGCAGAAUUACCUUGAAGGAGUGGAUGCUUUCGGGCAGGCAGGUUGCUUGCUGAAUCGUUUGAGAUGUUUCAGGCUCUUCUUGAAUAGUGGUCUACAGCUCAACUCUUGCAGCUUUUAUAGAACGCAUAUACAGUGAAAGUGAAAGUGUUUGAUCAUUUGAUCAGGAUUGAGGUGAAUCAUUAGCCUAUAAACCAAACUGAUAAGAUUUUUUUUUUUUUCAUAAGGACUUGAUUAUCCUCUAUUUGGUUGUAGGAGGGCCUGCAAAAACAAUACUUUUCCACAGGCCGCGAUGGUGUCCUGGGUGGUAGCUGGCUGUCCACGUUCCCAUUCCACCUGGUCGUGCUGCUGAUCCAGUAUCUGCUGUUCUGUCUGCGGCCAUGGAACCCUGACCUGUUCACCGGACGUGCUACCUGUCCCAGACCUGCUGUGUUGACCCUCUCUCUGAUACUGUCAAUUGUUUGUAUCUGCUUGUAUCUGACUGCAUUAUGUGAGUUGACUGUGUGCUGAGACCUUAAGAAAGGAUCUAUUUGCCUAAGGAAGACAAUAAAGGUAAUCUAAUCUAAUCUAG